UCGACACCUACCCGCUAUUAAACCAAUGU
rnacentral:sRNA from 1 species